ACUCCUGCGGGAGGCAGCAGUGGGGAAUUUUGGACAAUGGGCGAAAGCCUGAUCCAGCAAUGCCGCGUGAGUGAAGAAGGCCUUCGGGUUGUAAAGCUCUUUUGUCAGGGAAGAAACGGUGAAAGCUAAUAUCUUUUGCUAAUGACGGUACCUGAAGAAUAAGCACCGGCUAACUACGUGCCAGCAGCCGCGGUAAUACGUAGGGUGCAAGCGUUAAUCGGAAUUACUGGGCGUAAAGCGUGCGCAGGCGGUUUUGUAAGUCUGAUGUGAAAUCCCCGGGCUCAACCUGGGAAUUGCAUUGGAGACUGCAAGGCUAGAAUCUGGCAGAGGGGGGUAGAAUUCCACGUGUAGCAGUGAAAUGCGUAGAUAUGUGGAGGAACACCGAUGGCGAAGGCAGCCCCCUGGGUCAAGAUUGACGCUCAUGCACGAAAGCGUGGGGAGCAAACAGGAUUAGAAACCCCAGUAGUCCCAUG
rnacentral:rRNA from 1 species